GAUGAACGCUGGCGGCGUGCCUAAUACAUGCAAGUCGAACGAGGUGCUUGAGUAGCAAUACAAGAGUAUCCUAGUGGCGAACGGGUGAGUAACGCGUGGAUGACCUGCCCCAAAGUGUGGGAUAACAGUCCGAAAGGAUUGCUAAUACCUCAUGUGGUUGUUGGAUUUAGAAACUGACAACUAAAGCAGCAAUGCGCUUUGGGAGGGAUCUGCGUCCCAUCAGCUAGUUGGUGAGGUAACGGCUCACCAAGGCGACGACGGGUAGGGGACCUGAGAGGGUGGCCCCCCACAAUGGAACUGAAACACGGUCCAUACACCUACGGGUGGCAGCAGUAGGGAAUAUUGCUCAAUGGGCGAAAGCCUGAAGCAGCAACGCCGCGUGUGCGAUGAAGGCCUUGGGUCGUAAGCACUUUCUGAGAGAUGAGAAAGGACAGUAUCUCAGGAAUAAGUCUCGGCUAACUACGUGCCAGCAGCCGCGGUAAAGU
rnacentral:rRNA from 1 species